GAUGAAGAACGCAGCGAAAUGCGAUAAGUAAUGUGAAUUGCAGAAUUCAGUGAAUCAUCGAAUCUUUGAACGCACAUUGCGCCCGUCAGUAUUCUGGCGGGCAUGCCUGUUCGAGCGUCAUUACGCCCCUCAAGUCCCCUGUGGACUUGGUGUUGGGGAUCGGCCCGCCCCGCGCGGCGCCGUCCCCCAAAUACAGUGGCGGUCCCGCCGCAGCCUCCCCUGCGCAGUAGUUAUCAACUCGCACUGGAGCGCGGCGCGGCCACGCCGUAAAACCCCCGACUUUUAGAAAGUUGACCUCGGAUCAGGUAGGAAUACCCGCUGAACUUAAGCAUAUCAAUAAGCGGAGGA
rnacentral:misc_RNA from 1 species